rnacentral:rRNA from 1 species
UACGUAGGGGGCAAGCGUUGUCCGGAAUCAUUGGGCGUAAAGAGCGCGUAGGCGGCCCGGUAAGUCCGCUGUGAAAGUCAAGGGCUUAACCCUUGAAUGCCGGUGGAAACUGCCGGGCUAGAGUCCGGAAGAGGCGAGUGGAAUUCCUGGUGUAGCGGUGAAAUGCGCAGAUAUCAGGAAGAACACCGAUGGCGAAGGCAGCUCGCUGGGACGGUACUGACGCUGAGGCGCGAAAGCGUGGGGAGCGAACAGG